UACAGAGGAGCCAAGCGUUGUCCGGAUUGACUGGGCGUAAAGCGCACGCAGGCGGACGCGCGCGUGGGGUGUGAAAUCUGGCCGCUUAACGGCCAGGCGCCAUCCCAUACGGCGCGUCUGGAGUGCUGCAGAGGUCGGUGGAAUUGCCGGUGUAGUGGUGAAAUGCGUAGAGAUGCGGAGGAACACCGAUGGCGAAGGCAGCCCCCCUGGGCUGACACUGACGCUCAGGCACGAAAGCGUGGGGAGCAAACAGG
rnacentral:rRNA from 1 species